CUACGGGGCGCACCAGUGGGGAAUAUUGGACAAUGGGCGAAAGCCUGAUCCAGCAAUGCCGCGUGUGUGAAGAAGGCCUGCGGGUUGUAAAGCACUUUCAGUUGGGAAGAUGAUGACGUUACCAACAGAAGAAGCACCGGCUAAAUCCGUGCCAGCAGCCGCGGUAAUACGGAUGGGGCGAGCGUUAAUCGGAAUUACUGGACGUAAAGCGCGCGUAGGCGGCGAAGUCAGUCAGAAGUGAAAGCCCCGGGCUCAACCUGGGAAUUGCUUUUGAUACUGCUUAGCUAGAGUUUGGUAGAGGAUAGUGGAAUUCCAGGUGUAGCGGUGAAAUGCGUAGAUAUCUGGAGGAACAUCAGUGGCGAAGGCGACUGUCUGGACCAAAACUGACGCUGAGGUGCGAAAGCGUGGGUAGCAAACAGGAUUAGAUACCCCAGUAGUC
rnacentral:rRNA from 1 species